rnacentral:rRNA from 1 species
AACGGCGAGUGAAGCGGCAACAGCUCAAAUUUGAAAUCUGGCCUCCACGGUCCGAGUUGUAAUUUGUAGAGGAUGUUUCGAGCAUGGUCCGGCCUAAGUGUCUUGGAACAGGACGUCAUAGAGGGUGAGAACCCCGUAUGCGGUCGGGUGCCUACGCUCAUGUGAAACUCCUUCGACGAGUCGAGUUGUUUGGGAAUGCAGCUCAAAAUGGGUGGUAAAUUUCAUCUAAAGCUAAAUAUUGGCCAGAGACCGAUAGCGCACAAGUAGAGUGAUCGAAAGAUGAAAAGCACUUUGGAAAGAGAGUUAAACAGUACGUGAAAUUGUUGAAAGGGAAGCGCUUGCAACCAGACUUGGGCGCGGCCGAUCAUCCGGUGUUCUCACCGGUGCACUCGGUCGCGUGCAGGCCAGCAUCGGUUCUGGUGGCUGGAUAAAGGCCCUAGGAAUGUGGCUCCUCUCGGGGAGUGUUAUAGCCUAGGGUGCAAUGCAGCCUACCGGGACCGAGGACCGCGCUUCGGCUAGGAUGCUGGCGUAAUGGUUGUAAGUGACCCGUCUUGAAACACGGACCAAGGAGUCUAACAUCUAUGCGAGUGUUUGGGUGUCAAACCCAUACGCGUAAUGAAAGUGAACGGAGGUGAGAACCCUUAAGGGUGCAUCAUCGACCGAUCCUGAUGUCUUCGGAUGGAUUUGAGUAUGAGCAUAGCUGUUGGGACCCGAAAGAUGGUGAACUAUGCCUGACUAGGGUGAAGCCAGAGGAAACUCUGGUGGAGGCUCGCAGCGGUUCUGACGUGCAAAUCGAUCGUCAAAUUU